rnacentral:rRNA from 1 species
AACGAACGCUGGCGGCAGGCUUAACACAUGCAAGUCGAACGCCCCGCAAGGGGAGUGGCAGACGGGUGAGUAACGCGUGGGAAUCUACCGUACCCUACGGAACAACAGUUGGAAACGACUGCUAAUACCGUAUACGCCCUUAGGGGGAAAGAUUUAUCGGGGUAUGAUGAGCCCGCGUUGGAUUAGCUAGUUGGUGGGGUAAAGGCCUACCCAGGCGACGAUCCAUAGCUGGUCUGAGAGGAUGAUCAGCCACAUUGGGACUGAGACACGGCCCAAACUCCUACGGGAGGCAGCAGUGGGGAAUAUUGGACAAUGGGCGCAAGCCUGAUCCAGCCAUGCCGCGUGAGUGAUGAAGGUCUUAGGAUUGUAAAGCUCUUUCACCGAUGAAGAUAAUGACGGUAGUCGGAGAAGAAGCCCCGGCUAACUUCGUGCCAGCCGCCGCCGUAA